rnacentral:rRNA from 1 species
AUCUACCGCCAUAGAACUGAGAAGAUCCUGUAUCCCGUCCGAUCCACGAAGUCAAGCUCUGUACCGCUCGGUUAGUACCAUGGUGGGAAUUUACUUGGGAACGGAGUCAUAGUUC